GACGAACGCUGGCGGCGUGCCUAAUACAUGCAAGUUGAGCGCUGAAGGUUGGUACUUGUACCGACUGGAUGAGCAGCGAACGGGUGAGUAACGCGUGGGGAAUCUGCCUUUGAGCGGGGGACAACAUUUGGAAACGAAUGCUAAUACCGCAUAAAAACUUUAAACACAAGUUUUAAGUUUGAAAGAUGCAAUUGCAUCACUCAAAGAUGAUCCCGCGUUGUAUUAGCUAGUUGGUGAGGUAAAGGCUCACCAAGGCGAUGAUACAUAGCCGACCUGAGAGGGUGAUCGGCCACAUUGGGACUGAGACACGGCCCAAACUCCUACGGGAGGCAGCAGUAGGGAAUCUUCGGCAAUGGACGAAAGUCUGACCGAGCAACGCCGCGUGAGUGAAGAAGGUUUUCGGAUCGUAAAACUCUGUUGGUAGAGAAGAACGUUGGUGAGAGUGGAAAGCUCAUCAAGUGACGGUAACUACCCAGAAAGGGACGGCUAACUACG
rnacentral:rRNA from 1 species